rnacentral:rRNA from 1 species
UAGGGAAUCUUCCACAAUGGACGCAAGUCUGAUGGAGCAACGCCGCGUGAGUGAAGAAGGUUUUCGGACCGUAAAGCUCUGUUGUUGGUGAAGAAGGAUAGAGGUAGUAACUGGCCUUUAUUUGACGGUAAUCAACCAGAAAGUCACGGCUAACUACGUGCCAGCAGCCGCGGUAAUCGUAGGUGGCAAGCGUUGUCCGGAUUUAUUGGGCGUAAAGCGAGCGCAGGCGGAAGAAUAAGUCUGAUGUGAAAGCCCUCGGCUUAACCGAGGAAUUGCAUCGGAAACUGUUUUCUUGAGUGCAGAAGAGGAGAGUAGAACUCCAUGUGUAGCGGUGGAAUGCGUAGAUAUAUGGAAGAAUACCAGUGGCGAAGGCGGCUCUCUGGUCUGCAACUGACGCUGAGGCUCGAAAGCAUGGGUAGCGAACAGGAUUAGAUACCCUUGGUAGU